ACCAAAAACAAAGAUUCAACCAACUAAACGUUUGUCAACUCUGCGUCCUCUCACCGUCCUCUGCUGUCCUUCCCUGCUGCGCGUUGCUCCACGGGCUCCAGGGACUCUCUGGGCCCCGGUAACUAUGACGGAGUCUGACGGUGUACGAAGUGCCAGGUCUGAGGAGACAAACUGGGAAGCUGUAGUCUCUCACUGUCACAUUUGUGACCUGGAUAUCGAGCUGAACAGGGAAGAGAAAGAGGAAAGGUGUAGUGUGUUGCCGAGGCGUCUCCAGCCUCCCAGCGGCAGGUGACGUUAGCCUGAUUCAGAAACACGCAGCCAAGCAGCCGCGGAGGUCGAGGAAGGGCCUUGGAGGUCGUUACGGACGAGGCUGGAUGCAGGACUAGAGAUGGAGAGAGGCCGUAGUUAACAGCAGGAAAGGGCAGAUUGUGCUCAGUGAAUCUGGAGGCUGAGCUUUUGUUUUGUUGUGUGGUUUUUUUAAACGUCAGGUUAAAGACAGAGGGGAUUGAGGCUGAAUUUAUCCUCUGAAUGCAGUGGGGAAGCAGAGGUUUGAACAGAUGUACGAACGCAUGCAAGAGACAGGUAGUAGAUUACAGAAAAGAGUAGAAGAGGUACUUUGGACAAUUAGCGGGAAAGAAACAAGUAGAACUAGUAUCCUGCCUGAAAAACCCAAUAAAACAUUGACACCUGAAAACAAC